rnacentral:rRNA from 1 species
UACGUAGGUGGCAAGCGUUGUCCGGAUUUACUGGGCGUAAAGGGAGCGUAGGCGGAUUUUUUAAGUGGGAUGUGAAAUACCCGGGCUCAACCUGGGUGCUGCAUUCCAAACUGGGAAUCUAGAGUGCAGGAGGGGAGAGUGGAAUUCCUAGUGUAGCGGUGAAAUGCGUAGAGAUUAGGAAGAACACCAGUGGCGAAGGCGACUCUCUGGACUGUAACUGACGCUGAGGCUCGAAAGCGUGGGGAGCAAACAGGAUUAGAUACCCCGGUAGU